rnacentral:lncRNA from 1 species
ACCGUCUGUGAGGAGGAAGACCGUGCGUCCCGUCAGUAAUCAGCACCAGGUGGCUUAUAUAACACCUGUUUUCAGAGAUAACCAGUAGUACCAGCCACAUAACAACAAUCAACAACCACAUCCGCAAUAUCAACAUCAGCAGCACCGACCGCAGCAGCAGGCCUACCAGCCUCGAAACAGUAAUCAAACCAGCACGAGUUACGAGAGGAAAAAGGUCAGCUUCGA